GCACACUGCAGAGCUGCAGGACAAGCUGUGGGUUUCUGGCAUCAGCCCUGCGGCUGGAGGCAUGGCAGGUUUCCUGCCCAAUACCCACUGCUUCUAAGGCCUGCUGCCGCCACCCAGGCAUCUCUUACUCUCUGCACACUGUCUUGGGACAGCCGGCUCUAGGAAUUCUCGCUAUGGCACUCGAUUCAGCCAGGAGACAGGUGAUGCGUAAUGCUGUCAGAAAGCAUGUGCUGGUGAAGAAAUACAUUGAGCCCUGCUUGGUCCAGUGAGGUUAUUAGUGAAUUGGGAGAGGCUCAAAUCAGCAUGCAAACUAUUGUGAAAUUUUGACAGGUUCUUGCUAAGUUGCCAAGAGUCUUGCGAAGUUGCUCAGAUUGGCUUGAAACUUGUGAUCCUCCUGCUUCAGCCUCUGGAGUUGCUGGGAUUACAAGUGUGUACCACCACACAUGGCUCUGCCUGCUCAGCAAAUUCACCAGAGUGCCAGGAUCAAUCACUAUUUCUGAGGAUAUCCUGGUGAGGCAGUUUGGAAACCUUGGCUGAAUUGUGAAGGCAUAUCUUUGAAAAGUGUUUCAGAGUCCAGCAAAUGUUCCAUGUGAGUGACCACAUAGAAGAAGAGAAGGGGGUUCGCAGUGAUUAAGGAUCUUGUGAGAGAGACUCUAUGGUCUGUAGAGCCUGAGGUAUUAUCAUGUGACUCUUUAUAGGAAGUUUGCCAACUCCUGGUAUAGGUUAAAUGUAUUAUGUCCAAAAUCGUCCUUAUCCCACUUUCUUUAUAUGGGGUAUGUGUUUACAGCUGAUCCUAGGAUAUAUGGAAUCAAUUUGCUUUUUAAUUUCUUUUCAAACUCUCCAAGAAAGUACAUUCACAAAUUAUAAAUUUAAGAAAUAUAUAGAAGGAACUAUGUUUUAUAUGCUUCCUUGUAGUUAAUUUAUUUAUUAUAUAUGGUUCUUGCAUUACUUCUUUUUUUUAUAACCAUUUUAAAAUUAGGCCAUUCAUAAGUAUCCAGAAAGUUAUAACUUAUGAUCCCUACUUUAACCUUUUCCUGAUUUUAGUAUACUUCCCCACUGUGGCUUUUUUGCAUAUUUCUGCAGAUGUUUUGACUUUUCUGGGGAGAAAAGUCACCUUAGAACAUAAUUUUCUGUAGUUCUAUAUUGGGGAAAUAUGCAACUUAUAGCUUUUUGUGCAUUUAAUGCCAUUUAUUGAGCAUCUACUAGGAGCCUAUGCAUACUUUCAUAGAAUCUGCUCAAACCCAAAGAUUUGCAUGUUAAUCAGUUAUCUAGUUAUCUAUUUUUUUUUUCUUUCCAUACCAGAGAUUGAACUCAGGGACAUUCAAUUAUUGAGUCACAUCCCCACAUCCCCAUCUCUUUUUAUUUUUUGAAACAGGGCCUCACUAAAUUGCUAGGAUUGGCUUUGAACUUGUGAUCCUCCUUCUUCAGCUUCCUGAGCUGCUGGGAUUAAAGAUGUGUUGGCAAGUUAUCUCCAUUUCAAGGAUGAAUCUUUGAAAGCACAAGUGACUUUUCCUAAAUCAUAUUGCUAAUUAGUAGUACAAAUGGGACUUAAAAGAAUAUGUUACUCUUUGGUACUGGGAAUUGAAUUCAGUGCCUCACACAUGCCAGGCAAGCACUCUACUACUGAGCUACAUCUCCAGCCCUCCUUAUUUGUUUACUUAUUGGUUGGUUGGUCUUGGAUUUGAACCCAGGGUCUUGUGCAUGCUAAGCAUAUACUCUACCUCUACCCCUUAGCUGCACCCCAGCCCCCCUUUUCUUUUCUCUCUCUCUCUCUCUUUUUUUUGGUACCAAGGAUUGAAUCCAGGGACACUUAACCACUGAGCCACAUCCCACACCUCCCCCCCCUUUUUAAAUUAUUGCCCUUUUUUUAACACCUUUAUUUUUAUUUAUUUUUAUGUUGUAUUGAGGAUGGGACCCAGUGCCUCCACAUGCUAGGCAAGCGCUCUUCCACUGAGCUACAACCCCUGCCUCUGUUCUUUCUUUUUUUUUUUUUGGAGCUGGGGAUUGAACCCAGGGCCUCAUGCAUGCUAGGAAAGUGCUUUUUCACCAAGCUAUCUCCCUCCCUUCCCCCAGCCCUUUUUGAAGAGCUUUAUUUUAUUUAUGUAUUUUUAUGUGGUGCUGAAGAUCAAACCCAGUGUCUCACACAUGUUAGGCAAGCGCUUUACUACUAUCUCCCCAGCCCUUCUUCAGCCCUUGUUUAUAUUUUAUUCAGAGAUGGUCUUGCUGAGUUGCUUAAGGCCUCAAUAAGUUGCUGUUGCUGGUUUGAACUUGCAAAUCCUCUGCCUCAGCCUUCUGAGCUGCUGGAUUAUAGGAGUGUACCACUGGGCCCAGCCCUUUUUCUCUUCCUUUUCUUUUCUUUCUUUUUUUUUUUUUUGUGGUUUAUGUUGCUGGGGAUCAAACCCAGGGCUUUGCCACAUGCUAGGCAAGUAUUUAACCACUAAGCUAUAGCCCCUAGCCCUUCCAUUUUCUAUGUAAGUAUUAUCAAAGUUUUUUUUUUUUUUUUUUUUUUAAAGAGAAAGAGAGAGAGAACUUUUUAAUGUUUAUUUAUUUUUUUGGUUUUCGGCGGACACAACAUCUUUGUUUGUAUGUGGUGCUGAGGAUCGAACCCGGGCCGCACGCAUGCCAGGCGAGCGCGCUACCACUUGAGCCACAUCCCCAGCCCCUUGGGAAAAUUCUUUAUGAGAGACUUCGUUGAAGUGAAAUAUUCACUGUAAUCAGGAGUCAGAAGCCAGUCACCUAACCCUACAUGUUCUCCUUCCCUUGCAUAUCAGGCUAUUCAUUCUGUUUUCCUUUUCAACAACUUAGGGUAAAUUGGUAAUACUGUUCUAUCUAAAACCCUUCUCAGCAUUUUCUCCUUUCUGUCUCUUUCUGUCUGAGGUCAGCCACAUAUCUACUCUCUAGAAACCUUAUUGUCUUUUUUUUUCUUUUGCUGGUAAUUGAACACAGGGUCUUGUGCAUGCCAGACAGGCACUCUACCAACUAAGCUAUAUCCCCAGCCCAUAGAAACCUUACUGUCUUAUUUUGGUCAAGUCCAAUGAUAGCUUUUUAUAGGUCCUUAUGCUCAAAGAGACUAGAUGAGGAGAUGAGGAGUUUUUUUACUUAAUAGCUAAUGAUUUUGGGGUGACUGGGAUUCAGGGAGGGUCUGGGAACCUUUAAGAAUUCUGUUAAUUUUCUCUUUUUUGAAAUGGGGUCUCUCCAUGCUGUCCUGGCUGGGCUCAAGUGAUUUUUUUUUUAAAGAGAGAGAGAGAGAAUUAAUUUUUUUAAUAUUUAUUUUUCAGUUUUUGGUUGACAUCUUUAUUUUAUUUUUAUGUGGUGCUGAGGAUCGAACCCAGCGUCCCAUGCAUGCCAGGAUUUGGAGGAAUUAAUCCUUCCAUUGCUAUCUCAAAAGGUGAUCUAGACAAUGGAACAGAGACCUCUCAAUCAGGUUGUCCCUUUCACAAAUAAUGGUGCAAUGAAAACUUGAUCCGUGUGUCCUUGUCCUUUUUAUAUUUUAUUUUGAGACGGGUCUUGCUAAGUUGAAUAGUGCCUCACUAAGUUGCUGAGGCUGGCUUUGGACUCCCAGAACUCCUGCCUCAGCCUCCCGAGCUGCUGGGAUUAUAGGCGUGUGCCACUACUUUCGGCUGUAAUGCUUUUCUUAAUUGUUCCCACAUCUUAUUAAGGUAAUUAAUUUGGUGUAAAGUGUAUAUUAGAGAAUUAUUUAACUCUUGGAAUAAAAAUUUGAAAUCGAUGCUGACCUAUUAAGAUACAACUUUGAUCCACUGUAAUUAUGAGGUAGUCAUAUCAGUAUUAGUAUAUGUUAUCCAAAAAUUAACACGAACAUUUUCUUAUUCUGGAUAUGAUAUCUUUGGCAUCAUUGCCUGUUCUUCUUGAUUAAAAUGAAAUAAUCUUAUUGAGUAAAUAGUGGUAUGUAAUUUAAAAAUAUCGUCUUUUAACUGUCUUUAAUAUAGUUAGGUGUGUUCUGUAAAAUUGAUGUCAACUCCCCGAAUCUCUAUUAUUUUCUUUCCUUUUUUUCUUCCUGUUCUCUGUAUUCUCUUGAGGGCCUCUAGUUAAUUUCUGUAGGGAAGAAUAUGUUUAAAUCUAUAUCUGUCUCUCAGGUUUACAUGGAUUCUUUUUCGUUUACCCCAAUAUACUAUGUCUAAAAAAUUAUAAUAGAUAUAGUUACUCAUUUUCAAAAAUUUGAAAAGGAGCAUAUCACAAUUAAUGAAAGCAUUUGUAGAAUCUCAUAUUUGUACUGUAUUUCUUUUUAAUGUGUACAUAUCAUUAAUGUUUUAAGAUGGCUCUUAUGAGAAAAUUUUCCUGUCUUUAGAUAUAUGAGUACAUAAAGAUAUCUUAAUUUGGAUCAUGAUUGAUUUAUUUAGAACAUUUCCAUCCUUUUUAGUCAUUGGGAGAGUUUUUAGUUUGAAUAUAACAGUGCAGUUAGCAUACUCAUUGAAAACAUGUUUGUAUGCAUAUGUCCCUGACAGUUUCUUUUAUUAUAAACUGAAGUUAUUAGAGACUUGGUUUGACUUUUUUUUUUGGUAUUUAUUUAUUUAUUUAUUCGUUCAUUCAUUCAUUCAUUCAGUGUCUUGAAUACCUGAAGAGAGUGAGGAGUAAUUGCCAGGGGUAAUUAGACCGAUAUUAAACAGAUAUUAGUCACAUAUUCACACUUCAUUCCUUCACACUUUCUUCAUUCUUCCUACUGAAACACAUAAGCUUCCUGUGCCCUGCUAUUAUGCACCAUUCUUUGCCUUUUGUUCAGCACUUUUUGUUUACUAGGAUUGGGUUCUGUUCAUUUCUCUUUUAUUGGAUGAUUUUCAUUUUUUUCUCAUUGUGCUGGAGGUUAAACUCAGAGCCUCAUCCUUGGUAGGUAAGCACUUUAUCACUGAACUAUGUGCCUUGCCCUCACUGGAUAAUUUUAAUGAAUUUUAGUGUUUGCAAGAUGAUUCUGCCCUCUUGAUCUGCUUUUCCAGCACUUUGUACCAAAUACAACUGCAUACAUUCCUUCACAUUUAAAUACCUAUUAAUCAUAUCUCAUCUACUUGUUAUGUUAUAGAUAACAGUGUUUUUUUGUAUAGUAUUGUUUUUUAUAUUAUUGUCUUUUGAUAAUGAUAGUGACCAUUACCUGAGUACACUUUAAGUGUUUAACAUGUGUAAUAAUGGUUUUUAUGGAAGUAAAUUCUAAUUUGAUCUCUUAAUUUUUCAGAUCGGGUAAUUGAGGUCAAAUACACUCAGUAACAUUGCUCCCAAAUGUCAGAGUGAAGACUCUCUCUCAUUAUCAAUGAUGCUUAAGUUGGAGGUAAAAGUGAGGUCCUCUUCAAUUUCUUGUGAUGAUUGUGCUUCUAGGAAUAUCAGCAAAGGAGAAACAGAAAAGUUUAUAGCAUAGUAACAUUAUGAUUAACUGCUAGUAGAACACUUGAAUGUAUCGAUUAUCUCCACAUUUGAUUUUCAAACCAGGCAAGUACAUACAGAAGUGACCUUUAUUGGGUGUUUUGUUUUGUUUUAGUACUGGGGGUUGAACCCAGGGAUGUUUUACCAAUGAGCUAAUACCCCAGUUCUUUUCAUUUUUAUUUUGAGACCAGGGCUUGCUAAGUUGCUGAGGCCGACCUUGAACUUAUGAACCUUCUUGCUUAGCCUCUUGGUUAUUAUAGGUGUGUACUACCUUGCCUGUAACAGAAAUAACCUUUAAAACGCCAUUUCUUCCUCAAUGUUGGUUCAUUUUUUAGGAAUAGUCAGACCUGUAAAUAAUUCUAAUUGUGUCUAAUUGAUUCAAUCAUCUCACCAACUCCAAUGUUAACUGUUGUUUUCAUUACAUUUCAAAGAUAGGACAUCAAACAAAUGGAAGUUUAGAACUUGGUCAAGAACGGCUAGCUACUGUAAGCCAUUUUUGAACCCAUGUCUUAUGGAGCAAAAGCACAACCUUUUUCUGUUUUUUUUUUUUUUUUUCCCCCCUGAGCGGUAUUGGGAUUUGAACCCAUGGCUCAUGCAUGGUAAGCAAGCGCUCGACCACUGAACUGCAUCCCUAGCUCCUCUUUUUGAAAAAAAACUUCAAUAUCAGGUUUUGGUAAGUUGCCCAGGUGACCUCAAACUUAGUCCUAUUGCCUCAGUCUCCUGAAUAACUGGACUGAUAAGUAACCUAAUUCUUAAUUGUUCCAGUUGUUGUAUAGUGUCAUCUUUGGACUUUUCUAGAAUCCCUUGAUGUUGCUGCUGUUUCUUCUCAUGACGAAUGUCUCUUAUAAACACGUUUUUGCAGCUUAACUUCACUCCAUGUAAGAAUCUUUUUAACAUGAGACUUGUUCCAUAGGGUUCCAUUGGCUUUGCAAGUUAGAGGAUUGCUUUUUGAUUCUUUCGUUUGGCUAUUAAGACAGAUUCUUAGAGGAGUUUACCUGCCAUUAAGUCAGCUGUUUUGUCCUAGAUGUUUCUUUCCACAUUCAGUUCCCUUUACCUUCAGGUCUUCAGCCUCCAUUUAACUUCCUAUCUUAUGCACUGAGCAUUGCAGAAUUAUGUCAGAUGAGGAAUCAUUCCAUCAAGUAACCGGGAAUAUUGCUGUGAAGAGGUCUGUCUUUUUGUAAGAGGGGUGAGUUUUAAUUCAUUUAAGCUAUAGAACAAGUCAUAAAUUGUAAUGCAUUGCUUAAUUGUCUUAUUUAUAAAGAAAACCCAUUAAUAAUAUAACUAUUAUUCCAAACCAAACAUUUUAUGUCUAUGUACCUGUUUAUUAUUAUCUACUCUAGGCCUUGUACAUAGUCUCUUCUCCACAUCCUCUAACGAUUUUAUUAUUAAUAUUAAUAUCACAUACAUUGUACAGAUAAGUGUGAAUUUGAGAGGAAAUAAUUUGGACAAGAUCCGAAUGCCCCUGCCUCCCUCCUUUUUGUACUAGAAAUUGAACCCAGGAGUGCCUAACCACAUCCCUAGGACCCCCUCCCCCCCCUUUUUGUGGUGCUGGGAAUUGAACCCAGGGCCUUGUGCAUUCAGGGUAAGCACUCCACCAACUGAGCUAUAUCCCCAGCCCCCCUAGCCCCUUUUAAAAAUUUUAUUUUGAGACAGGGUCUCACUUAGUUGCUUAGUGCCUCACUAAGUUGCUGGCUUUGAACCUGUGAUCUUCCUGCCUUGACCUCCUGACCCACUGGGAUUACAGGUGUGCACCACCACACCUGGCUCAGAAUGCCUUUAAGUUAUGGUUUAUAUUUAAAGGCCCAAUUCAUAGCAUUUUAUAUAGCCCAAGGAAGCUUCAAAUUGUUUAGAAUGUAACUAAGGAAAAGAAGUGUGGAUAAUCUUCAUAUACUUAAAUUUCCCAAUAUUUGCCUAAUAAGAUUAUAUAUAAAUACUGACAUACUGAGAGAGUGCUCCGUAGUGAUUUAGGGAGCCCUUGGUAGGUUUCCCCCAUUUAUCUUUUUUUUUUUUAAUUUUUUAAAAUUUUUUAGUUGUAGUUGGACACAAUACCUUUAUUUUAUUUAUUUAUUUUUAUGUAGUGCUGAGGAUCAAACCCAGGGCCUUGCAUGUACUAGGCUAGCACUCAACUGCUGAGUCACACCCCCAGCCCUCCCUCAUUUAUCUUUAGCCUGAUACAGUAUCUCCAGAGUCCUCUCAUUAUCCCAGUGCCAAUGGAAGUUAGAAGUUGCUUUGUUUCACCCUGAGCCCUGAGCAAUGCCAGACAUCACAGAUUAUAAUCAUUUACUGUGCCAUUGGAUGCCUAAUGUCCCCUUAUACUAAACCUUAGCUGGGAGGCAAUUUCCCAUAUAGUGAGUAAGGUGGUAUGACAAGAGCUGAUUUGGCAUUAGACUUUGACAUUUUGUGCAGCCUUCUGCUUCUUCAGAAGACCUGUUGCAUCUUUAGAAAAUUGAUCCAAGUACUUUGGGGCCACUGCUACCCCAUGUUCUGGGUUUGGCAGUACCCUUACAGAACCUCAAGGUAAAGGGUAUGUGGUUUGAGAAGGGAAAUAUGCAAGUCCAUAGUGUAUGGUAUGAGCUCAACAGAUUACCUGAUUAGGCCUCAUCAGUUUUUAGGUGUGACCACUGAGACCUGGGGUUUAGUGUGGCGUGGCUUCUGUAGGCUUCUGAGAAGUAGAUUCAGAAUUCAAGCAAACUGCAUUAGCCCAUCCGAUACUUUUCCUUUUUGAAGUUGAAGGGUUUUAAGAGUCUUAACUUCUCAUUUAUUAAGUAACAGAAGGGAAAUAGUAGGAGCCAGAUAGUGAAUUGAUAAUAUGUGGGUAGGGAGGAUAGCUAGGGGUGGGAGCCUAAGGAUUUGGGACAAGAGGGAAAGAUGAUCCAUCUGGAAUCUGUUUCAGAGAAGAAAAAGCUGCAUAGUGCUUUGAAGACAUUGAGCAUCAUUCCAAGAAGAAACAUGAUCUCAGCAGUCAUCUUCAAAUCACCCCCAAUCCUGCCCCCAUCUUGUUGAGAAAGCAUAGCCCCACUUUUACCUAUUUAAUGCUGGUUUUAUAUAUUUCGUGUGUGUGUGUGUGUGUGUGCACGCACGUGCAGCAAGCUGAAACAUUGAGUAAGGGAACAUUCAUUUAGUUAGCUAGAGCAGAGUAGAAGGGAGUGUUUUUCUUUGUUAUUGGAAUGUGGUGCCAAGGGAAGCAGCAGAGGGGGAGGUACUUGGGAAGGAGCAGCAUGGGGGAAGGAUGCAUAUCCUGUAGAAUCAGUGGUCACAGGUUUUUAUAAAACAUCAACUGUUCCCCACCCCACCCCCAGUGAUAGUUGUAGUUCUAUUGCCUAGCCCUAUCUAACAAGUAUUGUGGUUAGUAGCAGUGACUUUGAGGAAAAAAUUACUCUUUUGCAACUUCCCAUUUCACUUCCAACUUGGUCAGUAUGCUAAGUAAGAAGUUCCAAGUUGUGAUGGCAAAAUUAUUAUAUCCAGACUUACUCUCUUCCCCUUCCCUAGCUUCUAGUGCCUUAUUUGGUUUGAUGUGCUCCUGUGUCCUAUCAGUGCUUUCUGAGUACUUUUAUGUUCAGUUUCUGGGUUGAUGGGAUAAGAGAGAGAGUAAGGCUAAAAUGGGGAAGUUGGGCUUUGUUAAAAUCUUAAUGAUUUCUUGUGGAUUUCACAUUUCAGAAGAUACUAUUAUACAACUAAAGAUAUUAGGGACCCUCUGCUUCAACAACUUGGCUUUAAGUAUCCCUCAUUUCCCAUGUUUUACACUUGAUAUGUUUAAGAAAAGUUAACUGAAUAGUUUCAUUGAUCCCAGAACUAUAUUCACCCCAAAGAGGAAGCCAAUCCUUUUCAAAAAAGACGCAAAUACCUCCAUAAGAUGAUAAAUACCAAUGUCCAUUUUCUCCCCAGGGAAUAGUACACCAUUUAAACUAGGCCCUUAGUCACCUAUAUGUAGUACCGGUGAAACUCCAGGUGUCCCUUUUUAUGGAAACUAGAAAGGGUAUCUUUAUCUUAAUCCUGCUUCUCAGAAGCUUCUGCUUUGCACUGUGGGGCAAGUGCCCCAACACAUGCUACUAUUCUGAUCUCUUCAUGUUUAUUUUGGGGAUUUGUUGCAUAUUAGAUUUUAAGUUAGUACAGUAGUGCAGUUUGUAUUUUGAGUUAGGGGGUCUUAUCUGGGAUUCCAAAAUAAAAGAUUUAAGAAAUUCCAUGUCUUGUUAGGACCAAGUAUGUGGUAAAGAUUGUAGCGUGAUGAUUUUGUACCAGAAGGAUUCUUGUGUUCGUCAACCUCAAUGUCUGCAAAAAGUUUUUCCAAUGAAGAGAACAAAGAAUACCCCUCAAUUCAUCUGGAGGAGGAAUGAGCCUGAAAAUAGCGCCCUCUGCUUGUGCUGCACAUAGCCAAAUCAGCUCUAUGAUGCCCAGAAACAUUGAGAAAGGUAAUCCCCGUACACUGCCAGAUGGAAUGGCCAGUGCAACUAGUGUUAAGUUAUCAGUCUUUUGAUUGGAUGAGAUAUUUAUUUUACUCAGUUUUUAGGGCCCUGAAAGCUUCCUUUGCACUUACCAGUUCAAAUUCCUACACUACCACAUGUUAAAAAUAGUCAAGAAAACAGUGAUUUAUUUUAGCUUCUAAAGUUACAUAGUGGCACUGGUAAAUGAACCUACUUCAAAAUCUUUUAAUUUAGACCCUAGCUCAUAAAAUGUUUUCAACCAAAAAGGAUUGGGUUUUAUGCAUGGGGUACUACAUGUAGUCUGGGGGGUGCUUUCCCACAAGUGGGGGGGAAUAAAUACUUUUUUCUGUGUCCUUGGAGUGAGGGUGGGAUCCACGUAUAUACUUACCUGUUUGGCUGUCUGCAUAAUGCGAAGGAGCCCCAUGUUGCAGCACAGAAGAUUUUUCAUCGUUGGAUGUUAAGGUUAGUUUUCUUUCAUUGGUCCUUCUCUAACUUGGACUAAAGUGUGUAAUGUAGAAAUACAUAGGUGUCCAUGUUAUUUUAACACAGAAAUCUGGGACUUAUCAGAAUAUUAAGUGUUCUGUGACAGCUAAUAAAAAAUCCAGAAUUGCCUAAUUAUAGCACUUAAUAAAGUGUUAACUAAGAUGAACUAGACAGCAGAACUUUGGAUGAGUGUUUACCAUCACUAUCAGAAAAUACACAACAGUACUAAAUCCUAAAAAGUCGAUGGAUUUUUUUUUUUUUUUUUAAAUAGAAAGUCUUUGCUAUCUUGUCCAGACUGGCCUCUAUCUCAUGGCCUCCUACCUUAGUGUUGCUUGGAAUGCAGGUGCACUCCACUGCUUACUUUAUUGGAAUUCUUAAUGAUUUGUGCCCAUUUUUACUUGCUUUCUGAAAAAGUUCUGAUAUAAUUUUUUUCUGGUACGGAGUGCUCCUGCUCUUGGGGAACCAUAUGUUUGCCUAUUGGUGAAAUGAUAGAUCUAAGGGUAAUUUUUCUGCAAGUGGGCACGAGAUUGUUUAUUAAGAGCAGUAAAAUUUUUUGCCUCUUUGCCAACUGGGUACCAUCUGUUGUGGUUCUGAAACUUCCCUUGGUUGGCUAGUUCAUAUUUGAACCAGUUAAUAAUUCUACUAUGUUAAGUGACUUACUGUUGUCAAACAGUCUGUCGAGGACAUAAGGUUAAACAGGCUAAGACUUAACGCUGGUAGUAUAGCUAAGAUUUCUUACCAGUUUUUCAUAAAUACUUGUGAAAUAUUUUGGCUCCUAAAGAGGAAUAUUGCUGCCCUAUCCUGUUUUAAUCAUUGUGCAUCUGCCCCUCCAAUGUAUUUAAAGGAUACUACAGUACACGCUGCUUUGCUACAGAAUUGCCAAUAUACACUGUUGGAGAACUACUAUCCUGAAGUAGGGUAAAUAACUUUAAAAAGUUAAUACUCUACUUUCUAGCUUCAUUGAUAUUUCAAAUUGGAUUUAAACCCAAUUGACAGCUAAACUAGGCAAAUGGAGUAUUCUGGAGUAGGAUUAUAAUGAGUUUUCCAUUUUUGACUCCUGUGUGUAUGGAAACAAUGGAAUACUUUCAAAUACAGUUGCAUGGGUUUAGCUUUUAGAAAUAACUUGUAUAGAAGUGUCUUCUGAAGUUUAAAUCCAGUGUGUUUAGCAGUACAUUGUUUUACUAGUAAUAAAACCAAAAGGGCUUACUUUCAGGAGAUGCAUGUUCAUACUCAUUUGUACAUAGUGAUUGUCUAGUCAUACUACCUUUCUAGGUGCACUGUCCUUCAUUUACAUUUAACUAAUCCAUCUAGCUAGUAGGCAUUUUUAUUUCCAUCCUGUGCAAUAAAUUUGCUCAAUAAGAUGAAAGAUUUGCCUGUUUUUUGUUUUUGUUUCUCCUUUAGUACUAGAGAUUGAACCCAGGAUAGCUUUACCACUGAGGUACAUCCCCGACCUUUUAAAAAAAUUUACUUUGCGACAAUCUUGCUAAGAAAUUUAGGCUGGCCUCAAACUUGUGAUCUUCCUGUCUUAGCCUCCCAAGCUUCUGGGAUUACAGGCAUAUGCCACCAUGCUCAUAUUGGCACCUGGUUUUGAAAUGGUAAACUACUAAUAGGAUCAUUCAUAGUCCCUAUUGUAAGUUUCAUUACCAUAUGUCAGUUUUGUGUGGGAUAUUUAGUCUUGUAAUUUGAGAAACUGAUAAUGGAUACACAUCAAACUUGGUUACCUAUACUUUGUCAAAUGUGUUAUCAACAUUUGUGUUACUAAUGUAAAGUCUUAAAUUUAGCCAACUACAUUCUACAGAUUAUACAAAGAACUCUCUAAUUUCUCAGUUGCCACAUUAGGGAGGACAUUGUUUGCAAAUUUCUAAUACUUAAAAAUCACAAUGUAUUAGGUUUCUUCUCUUCCAUGGUCUUUUUUGUUGUUGUUUCUUUAUCCUGGAGUUUUUUUUUUUUUUUUUUUUUUUUUUUUAAAUAUUUGUUUUUUGGGUGGACACAAUAUUCUUUAUUUUAUUUUUAUGUGGUGCUGAGAAUUGAACCCAGGGCCUCAUGCAUGCUAGGUGAGCACGCUACCACUUGAGCCACAUCCCCAACCCAAUCCUGGAGUUUUAACACAGGCCCUCUAUUACUGAGCUAUACCACCAACCCUUUUUCUUUUAUUCUUUUGGUACUAGGGAUUGAACUCAGGGGCAUAUUACCACUGAACUACUUCCUCAUCCCUUUUUAUUUUUAUUUUGAGACGGGGUCUCACUAAGUUGCUGAAGCUGGCCUUGAGUUUGCAAUACUGCCUCUGCCUUCAGAGAUGCUGAAAAUACAGGCAUGUCACCACUAGCUAUUAAAGGCUUUUGAACUAAAUUAUUCAAUGUAAAUGUAUUUUCAUAAUUUAUGUACCUGUAUGCUUUUUAAAUUUUUUGGGGGAGGGGGUUAUUAUUCUUUUGAAUUUUUGGUAAUGUUAGGUAGAAUUUCACUACCAGUCAUAUUUUUAACAUGUCUAAAUCUCAAACUUGGUUCUACAUUUUGAAGAAAAUACGCAUUACCAUGAAUCGUCGAAAUGGGAUUGUUCUUCAUCCUGCAUUGCCUCCAUUGGCAAUAUUGAAAACAAAAAAUUUAUCGAUAAAUGUAUUUGUUGAACAAUAUAUUAAAAAAUAUGUUGAACAGUCAACAUUUAAAUGUAGAGGUAUAUAUGCUUUGGGUCCUUUAGCUUCAAGAUUUCGUAACAGCAUUUGGUUUAUUACUAUUGUGAUUCGGAAGUAAUUUUUCACCAACUGUAGCCCAUCAUUAGUAGUAUGUGUUUUUCCUGUCAUAAAUGUACAUUUCAAGUUCGGAGCUCCUUUGGAGUAAUGAGCCGGAAAUUUUGUACUCAAUUUGCCCAUAUAGCAGUGUUAUUUAACUGGAGAUAGUCUAAAAUUGGGAAUCCAAGUUUGGUUCUAGUUAAUGGGAAUCUUCAUACAAACUUUUUUGGUUCUCAUAUUGUGUGUCGGGGCCAUUUGUUAAUUCCAAUUGAUAAUAGGGAACUAAAAUGAUGUGCAGUUUUCGUAAGUUGCUGAAUAUUGGUCUUUUCCAGAUUUGUCUUUGAAUUCUUUUUUUUUUUUUUUUAAAGAGAGAGAGAGAGAAAAAGAAUCUUUUUUAAUAUUUAUUUUUUAGUUUUCUGCGGACACAACAUCUUUGUUUGUAUGUGGUGCUGAGGAUUGAACCCUGGCCGCACGCAUGCCAGGCAAGCGCACUACCACUUGAGCCACAUCCCCAGUCCUGUCUUUGAAUUCUGACCACAUAGUAUACCUAACCAAAAAUCCUGUUGUACUCAGUAUGUACCAUGUAGUAUUUUCUUUCUUUUUUUUUUUUUUUAGAUGGUUGGAAGUUCAUGUGUACUCUGGAAGGUAGUUCCAUUAGUAAAACAGUUUAAUGGCUGAGUGCUAUGAAGCCAGAAAUGGAUUGAAAUUGGUAGAGAACUUUUUAGUUUUUAUAGUCUAAUUUUUUUUAACUUUUAAAAAAAUGCCUCUAUUUUGUUUAUUUUUAUGUCAUGCUGAGGAUUGAACCCAGUGCCUCACACAUGCUAGUCAAGUGCUCUGCCGCUGAGCUAUACCGCCCCAGCCCUUAUAUUGUAAUUUUUAACUGUCAUUUUUUAUUGUUUUAAUAUGCUAUUAUAUUAAGACAGUUACACGUCUUUAAGUCCUUUUUUUUUUAAUAUUUAUUUAUUUAUUUUUCGGUGGACACAACAUCUUUGUUUGUAUGUGGUGCUGAGGAUCGAACCCGGGCUGCACGCAUGCCAGGCGAGCGCGCUACCACUUGAGCCACAUCCCCAGCCCCGUCUUUAAGUCCUUGUAAAAGUAAGAGCCAUGUAAAUUAACUUAGUAGUAUGUUAACUAGUAUUGACAUGUAUAGAUUUGUAGUAAGACAUUUUUCCUACUUCGUGAUGCCCCUGGCACAAGCAUUGUAUCAGAAAUUGGUCCCAAAUUUUGUUGUAGAAUUUCCACGUGAUUCCACUAGUGUGUUAAGUAUCCUUUAUUAUUGGGAUUGAACCCAGGGGCGCUUAACCACUAAGUCACAUCCCCAUCCCUUUUUUAAAAAAUAUUUAUUUUUUAGUUGUAGUUGGGCACAGUACCUUUAUUUAACUUGUUUAUUUUUGUAUGUGGUGCUGAGGAUCAAACCAGGGUUUCUCACGUGGGAGGUGAGCGCUCUACUGCUGAGCCACAACCCCAGCCCCCAUCCCUUUUUGUAUAUUACUUAAAGACAGGGUCUCAAGGAGUUGCUUAGGGCCUUGCUAAAUUGCUGAGGCUGGCUUUGAACUCACUAUUCUCCUACCUUAGCUUCCUAAGCUACUGGGAUUAUAGGCAUGCACCAUUGCACCCAGCCCCUGGCCUAGUUUUUAAUGGUAACUUUAUCUAGUAAGGAAAAUUGCUGAUUGUACUUUUUUCAAAAUUUCUUCAUUGUUUUUUUUUUUUUGUUUGUUAUUUUUCCAUGCGAACUUUAGAAACCGCCUGUGAAGUGUUCAUCACAAAUAUCAUUUGUUUUUCAACUGAAACGGAAUUGAAUUUAUAUAGGUUAAUUUUGAGAGGUAUCAUUUUACCAUCUUCCAUAUGUUAAUGUGGUAUGUCUUUUUAUUCAAGUCUUUAUGUGUUUGUAUUUAUAUUCUACUUAUUACCUUCAAUAUUUCUUAGUUUUUGAACGAAAUAGACAUCUUAGGAACUACAACUCUGAGAUGUAGAAGAUGUCAUCUGCAUAGACUAGGGCUCAUUGAAGGCCAUUCAGUAUGUUUUGAGAUUGAUGUUACCAUUUCUUCUAGAAGUUCCAAGGAAUAUUUUAUAAAUAAUAUUUUAUAAAUAAUAUUUUAUAAAUAAGUUCCUUAUUUAUAAAAAUAUUUUAUAUUCCUGGUUUGGGUAAGUGUACAAGUGUGAGCUAAUUUUAGGAAAAUUGCAUAGUGAGCCAUUUGUUUUGGUAAUGUCAGCAUCCUCUUGACUUUUAUCUUUCCAUGUAGAAGUACUUCCUUCAUCCUGUAGUUUCCUGGAGAUUUAGAGCUCAUUGUCAAUAGGAUUUGUAGCACUUGAUGAUCUUUAUAUCUUCUAAUAGAGAGCUAACUGGUUGUCUUCCUGGAAAGUAUUUAGAACUAAGGAGGUAAGAAUUCUAUUGUGUUUGAUGGUUUUAUUUCUGUGUUAAGGACAAUUCUGAUAGGAGUUAAAGGACUUGCAUGAUACAGAGAGUGAUCUGACCUUAAAUCCUCUGAGAAUCAUCAUAGGAAUUAGUACUGUUUAUUUUGUAGGGAAGAACUCAAAAGAGUUAAGUGCUGUGUUUUCAGGUCAGGGAUGGUUGGAUUUUGCUGCUUUUUCCAGGCAGUUGUAAUUAAUAGAAAAGUAGAUUUAAGAACUGUUUAGCUAGCACAGUGGCAUACCUAUAAUCCCUGCUGAGGCAGGAGGAUCUUAAAUUCAAGGCCAACCUUAGCAACUUAGUGAGACCUAAGCAACUCAGUGGGAAAAGGGUUGGCGAUGUACCAAAGUGGUUACAUAUCCCUGGGUUCAAUCCUUGGUACCAAAAAAAAAAAAAAAGAGAUCUAUCUAAAGAUUCAGAGACUCUGAAGUGAUACCUACAAAUUUAAGUGACAACUUUUGAUCAAAUUUGAGGAUUUCCUUGUAUGGAAUUCUGAUUUGUAUUACACGCACUUGAAGGUCACUUUUUUUUUUCUCUCUGUCUCCUUGUGGUGCUCAGGAUGUACCUAGGGACUUAUAUAUGCUGGGCCAGUGCUUUAUCAAUGAUCUGCAUCCCCAGCUCUGAAGGUCACUUUUUUUAAAUAUAUAUUUUUAGUUGUUGAUGGACCUUUAUUCUAUUCAUUUAUUUAUAUGCGGUGUUGAGAAUCGAACCCAGGGCCUCACACACGCUAGGCAAGUGCUCUACCACUGAAUCACAACCCCAGCCCCUGAAGGUCACUUUUAUUGCUAAUAUUCUUUGAAGUUCUUAGUUGGUAAAUGAAGCUGCCUUGCAUUGUAUGACUGCUUCACCUGCUCCUAUUUAAAUUACCAUCACAAUCCCCUUAGGCAUCCUAAAAGGUAGAAUAAAUUUAAUAAGGUAGCAUGUAAUUAAUGACAUUGCAUGUUUUUUUUUUUUUACUUCCCCAUAUUUCUUAAUCUCUGAGAGUAAUUCCUACUCUACAGUACUUUAUUGUUUGUAAAAACCUUUUAUUACAUGGUUUUUCUUGGCCCUUACACAUAUCUGGUGAAAUAGGAAGGGUAGAGUCCACCAGUGUAUCUAAUUUGUAAAUGGAAGAUAGUCUUGGAGACUACUUGGAUUAUCUCUGAUAAGAGAUCAGUGAGAUUACUCCUUAUAAUCUUCAUAUUUUGGGGGAAGCUUAGUACCAGAGUUUAAAUGUGGAUAUUUUGUAUACAUUCUUUUGUGUUGGGAGGAGGAACGUUAGACUAGAUAAUCUUUUGGAAUCCAGGGGUGGGAAGUACCUUCCUUGAAUCCACCAAGUAUUAUAAACUUGAUGGAUUCUAGCUCACUAUGUUAGACUGAGGGGCAUUUUAGCAAACAAUCAAAGGCAUUAAAUGUUUUAGGGAUUUAUAGUUCUAGGUAGCAGGUUGUUGGAGAAAUUUGGGUCAUGAGCUCCUUCUCUUUGGCCUUUUAUGCAGUUUCUUUUCCUCCUUCAGGUCCAAGAGUCAGGUGGGAAGAUGACCACUGGAGAAUGGGUUAUGUUACAAGUUUAUAAUCAGUUUAUUAUGAAUGAGAAUGAGGCCUUAGCCCCUGUCCACAGCUAUAGAAGUCACUCUUUAGUCAUGUGUCUUUGGUAUAGGCUCAAAGUCAUGAUUCUGCUAAUUUAGAUUUCAAACCUCAAGGAUAAAUUUUGAAAACCUACUAUCCCCAUAGAUUAUUAGGUUUUAAUCUGAUCACAAAUCCCUUUGUAAGAGACAAUAAAUGGUCUUACUUAGUGAUGGGGAACUCCUUGAAUCAACUUGUCUUAUUUCUGAAACUUUGUAAUAUUGAGAUAAAUUUGUUUAAUACAGCUUCAACAAGUUUAUCAUAAUUAUAUUGUACUCCCAUUCAAGAAUAUUGCUUUAUUUUCUCCUGCAUCUUUAGCUACUCUCCUCUUUGCUGCCUUAUGUGCUGCCAGGGACUGUGCUGGGUGAUGGGGAUAUGGAGAUUAAUUAGUCUCAGUCCCUGUGCUCAAGGAGUUCUCAGUUUAGUGAGAAAGAUCAUAUAUACACAGAUAAUUACAACAGUAUGGUAUGCUCUACAAUGGUGGUAUGUAUGAGGUACUAUGGAAUUCAAAAGAAAAACACUUUAAUGAGUCCAGAGAUGCCAGAAGUCAGAGUAACUGAUAUCUUAAAAAAAGUAAAGAUUGAACCACAGGUGGCACACGCCUGUAAUCCCAGCCAUUCAGGAGGCUGAGGCAGGAAGAUCGCAAGUUCAGGGCCAGCCUUGGCACAAUACCCUCUCUAAACAAAUAAAUAAAUGGGACUGAGGAUGUAGAUGGUAGAGUGCCCCUAAUUUCAAUACUCAGUACCCAGGGUUGGGGGGUGGGUAGCAAAUGUUUCCUCAGCAGAAAACAGGGAAAGGACUUUAUAUCAAAGUAUGAACAUUGGAAACAGAAUGAUGCGUUGGGGGAAACUGCAACUAUUUUAUGAAAUUAGGCUACAAAGUUAGAAAUCGAUCCUCACAUCAUGCCAUGGGUUUCAUUGAGGGUGUUUCUAGAAGGGGAUGCUUUUAAUGAUAACUCUGGUAGAAGUGUGAAGUAUGUUCUAGAAGGUGUUGAAAUCUGUACAGGGAUAUGAGUUAAAAGGACACAUUAGUGGCUAAGUUGAGAAAUAGGAGUUGGGAAACAUAUAUAAGAGGAUAUAGACAUAGAUAAUAGAAUUUAUUACAAAAUUAGCAUGGCAAAGAAAGUAAAGUACAGGGUUUUCUGACUUUGGCAAAUGUACACUCCCAUUCUCCCCAUUCCUGGCCUUGAUGAAAAAUCCUCUUGUGUUCUUUGGUCCAUAGCUUGGUGCACACAUUGUACACAAUUCUUUUUGGGAAACAACUGUAUAACAAACAUCGAUUCUCAAGGAACCAUAUGAAUAGCAGCAGCCCUUAUAUAAGUAUUACUAAGUUCCUAUUAUUGUUCAUAAGUAUCAGACCUACUCUCACUGUCAUAUGUCUGAAAGUUUUUUUUAAUUUUAUUUUUUUAGAUAAAAAUAUAGACUUUUGUUUCUAACCCCACUGAAGGAAGAAUGAUAUUAUUCGUUAUAGGCUCAGUUACUUUACUUAGGGACUUAGAAAUUCUUAUACCUGCAAGUAGAAAAAACAAAAAUACAAAUACAACAGUUAAAAAUCCAAAUAUAUUAAGGGUUUUUUUUUUUCUUCCCCUCAAAGCAAUAUAAACAUGGUGUUUUUAGGGGCAUUUUGUACUUUUAAAGCUUAGGUCAUUGCUUAUCUUUGUGAUUCCGAGAAGCACUUUCUGUGAUUAGAAUGAUUAUAUUUUAUUUUCUAAAAUAUUUAUUUUUUAGUUGUAAUUGGACACAAUACCUUUAUUUUAUUUAUUUAUUUUUAUGUGGCACUGAGGAGUGAACCCAGGGCCUCAAAUGUACUAGGCGAGCACUCUACCGCUGAGCCACAACUCCAGGCCCUAGAAUGAUUAUAUUUUAGUAAUAUAUAUAUAUAUAUAUAUAUAUAUAAUUUUUUUUUUAACAAGGCCUUAUAUAUAUAACCUGCCAUACUCUGGGCAAUACGGAAUGCAGAGUUAGUAAUGUAAGCUCUCAGCAGUGAACUUUGUGGAGUGAGAGUCUCGGACUUGGGACUCAGACUUCUUUUGAUACUUUACAAUGUGGUCUUGAGCAUGAUUCCUUAUCCCUCUAGGAGUUUGUUUCCUUUUAUGGAAAAUAGGAAUAGAAUUUCCUUUCAAGGAUCUGGAAAAAGGGAGUGAAAUGUAAGGAGAUUAUUUAUGGCAAUCAUUUGAAAUAGCUCUGGAAUAUGCUAAAUGACAUAGCAACAUAGUUGUUGCUGAUAAUCGUUGACUACCACAAGGACUAAAAGAUGAUGGUUGACUAUUGUUACUUUUUUCUAGUAAUUAAUGACGUUAGGGUUGAGAAAGAAAGGAAAACUAUGAUUGUUUUCAGUAGAACACUAGUAUGAAGUCACUUCAAAUUUUUCUCUCUGCUAGGAAGAGUAGGAAACCAGGUUAAGCCUUGAGUUCAUGGUCUAGCCAGUGUAACCUACUGCCUUUGCUCAUAGUACCAAAUAGAAAGCUGUGGAAAAGUUGUGUUACAACUGAAUAAAGGUUAUCGUAAAGUGAGAAAAAAAAAUUCUUUGGAGCUAUUCAAAACUGAGUCUAAUUCAACUGCUUACUAGUUAUGUGAUCUAAUAAAUGUUACUUAACGUCAUUGAACCUCUGUUUCUUCAUCCAAUGAUUAAUUUUCAGGGGUUCCAUGAAGAUACCUGUAAAGUGUAUAUCAUAGGCACUCUAUAAGUUAUAGCUAUUAUUGUUAGUUCUUGGGACACUCACCGCGUGACAGAAACAACAGAAGGCCCUGGUGCCUGUGAGGACUUCAUGGAUCCAUCAGCAACCUGGAGUGGUGCUCCUCUGAAGAAAUCCUACUCGGAUGGAUAUAAUACAACCUGCUAAGUGUCCUAGCACUUAUCAGGUUGUAUUAUCAUUGUCCGAGUCUAUGGCUCUCGUCUACCAGACUAAAUUCCAUAAGGGCAAGGACAGUGCCUUAUUCAUCUUUGUAUUCACAGUGCCUAAUCCGGUGCACAUUGUAGGCCUCAUUAAAUGUUUGUUGAAUGAAAAAAUGAAUCAUCAACAGACAUUAAUUGGGCGCCUGCUCUGUGAUCUCCAUGGGCUCAGCUUGUCCCCGCCAGUUGCCUACAACGUCCAAGCUCUUCAAAAUGCUUACUCCUGAAGUUUACUCCUGUUUUCUAAUUCUUGUGCUGAGGACUUAUCUGUGUAUUGCAAUGAUAGGAAAUACACUUCAUCUCAAGUACCAUCUGCAGUUGACUAUAAUGCCUGCCUUGAUUGUGUUUUAUAAAAAGAAUUCCCAAGCCAGGUCUUACCUCAGUGUGAAAGAGAGUUAUAAAUAAUUAGUGAUAUUUGCUAAAGGUUGGCUAAAGUGGGGGUGGGACCUCAAGUGUUUCAUAUGUCAUUUGAUAUUGUAUACCUCAAUUUUAGUCUUGGCUAAUUGCAAAUAUUGCAUGCCUCCUGCUGCUGUUAUAAUUUUUGCCAAUUGCUUAUUGGGUUGGACCAGAGAAAUCACUGUUUGUGCAGGAGCCUCAUCCUCACAGCUUGGGUUCUUUGGUUGGUAUUCACAAUUUUUCCCUUUCAACUUCCUGGUAGCUAUCCACUUACCUGCAGUGGUAGGUAGUUUUCCACUUUCCUCUCUACCCAGUCACCAUGCUCAUAGUUCCUUUUUCUUAUUUAGUGUACUUAAUCAUUAGUCUUCCAUGAGAAUCUUCUUUUUGUAGAUGUGACAACCAGAAUACAAAUUAAAGCACCCCUUUCUGUGCCCUACAAUGAGUUGUAUAGUCACUCUUCUAAUAUGGGGAAAAAAUGCAGUGUACUUUCAAGGCCAUGGAGCAGGAAGAGGAUGGGAGGGAAUCUUUGUAGAAGUGGGAAUGAGAUGAUAACAGGUGAAAUAACAUCUUCAAUGAUGAUACACGUAUUGGUUGAAGAAUGAAACCUAUGCUUUCUUAGAACAUAGGUAGAGGUUUACCCUUAGAUUAAAGGAACUACUACUUCACUAGAACAUAGGGACAGGAGUAAGGAAGAGAACAUGGCUGGUUUUUUAAGAUUCAUAAUUAUGAAGAUGGAUAAUGGAAAGGUAGCUAACCAGGAUUAUGAACAUGAAGCUGCUGGAACAGGAAGAUGAGUAGUUGGGACUAAAAUGAGUAAUAUCCAGGCCAAAAGGCUGAAGUUGGGCAAAACAACCAGAGCUUAUAGUAUAUUAAAGUGACAAGUCUGUAACCAGAUUAGAAACCCAGGAAAAUAUCAGUGGUUUUGAGCCACUGUCACAAGUAGUGUUUGGUUGCUUUGAUUGAUUGAGGAAUAGAUAGCUAGUAAGUGAGGAGCUACAUGGGAUUGGAUUUCAUUGCUUUUUGUCUAAUUUUUUUGUGGUGCUAGGGAUUGAAGGGCUUCACACAUGCUAGACAAGUACUCUACCACUGAGCGACAUUCCUAGCUCAGAAAUGAAUUCGAAAAAUCUAUAAUGGGCAUAGAAGGAGGUAAGGUCAGGAGUAGAUUCAAUCUGGGCACAGAAAUGAAGGGUUUUAGUAUAAAGAAGAUGGAGAUCUAGCACUUGGGAAAAUUGGAAUGAUAGCACCUAUAAUCAGAUUUUGGAGUGUUAAGAUUUCAGAACUGGAGUGAUCAAGAUAAGAUACCAGUGAAAUGGAUUUCAGGUGUGAUUUAUGUGAAUGUUGAAGUCCCCAAGGUUUAUAAUGUAAGGAAGGCCUGAAAUGUACUCUGGGCCAGGCACAAAAGCCUUCAAUGACUACAAAUGCUAGUGAUGAGAGGUUGUAAUGGGAUUGUAGCAUGAGUCUUAAAGAAUAGUGACAUUCCAGGUAACAUUCCAGGUAAUCCCUUUAUUAAGUACCCAUUCUGUACCUGCCAACUUGUUUUGUGCUAUCCGUUUACCUCUUGAAUCUGUCCCAUUUCACCUGUGUGAGAAUGUAUAGCAAUUCUUGUUAAACACAGUUAGAGAGGUUGCCGGACCUUAAUCCUGCUGGAAAUCUGUGGCCAUCUUCUAAUUCUUUGAAAAUAUAAUAGGCUAGUCAUUUUGGAGUAGCAUAAAAUUAUAUCUUUAGGUAGAUUUCUUUCCUUUGACCUCGAUUUAUGUUCACUAUAUGUAACAUGUUUUUGUUGACCAUGUUCUAUAAAGUACUUUGGUUUCAGAGCCUCUAAGGUGAAGGGAGAGCUACUGCUGCCCUGUGAAAAGUAAAGUACUUUAAAAUAUACAUUGCACAACUAGAACAAGACAUAGUUUUAUUAAUUAUCUAAUUCUGCUUUUAGGAUGUAGUAUAGAGAAAAGAAAGCUCACAUCAAUAGGUGAGUAGUAACCUGAUCACUUAGUUAACGCUAUUCUAGGUCAGGUUAUAUCCAGGUUAUAUCCGGUUUAGUGGCUUAUGGUGUAGAGUUUUUCCAUGAUGUUCAGAAAGAGAACGGGAAAUUGAAGCAUAGAGAUAUCCUUAUGGAAUUAGAAGGUAAAGCAAAGGAGAAGAGAGAUUGUGAACCUUUAACAUGGCAAGUAGAUUUUUCUUUUAUGAUUCAGUUUAUUUGGGAUAUGAUAAAUGGCUUUUGUUAGCACAGGUCUGAACACCAAGUUUGAGGCUGAAUUUGUUAGUGUUUCGGUGGGGAAGGUUCUUGUUAAUCAUUCUGUACCCAUUCCCCACCUGAUGUCAGGGUGGUCAUUGGAGAAGUUAUAGACAAGGACAGCAUCUCCAUGAACCCCAGCCCCAUGAUUUACUCCUUAUGUUUCAACAAGUCAUAAAAUUACUGGAUGGCCUUCUCUACUUCAAUUUCUGGUUAUGACUUGUUCAGAUAUUAGCAUUUUUUUUUAGGACACAUGUAAGGAAAGAAAUUUUAUGGAGUAAUCGCUUUCCUCUGUUAUGGAUGAAUGGUAUAGGACAUAGAAGGGAAAGUGUGAUCAAUCCCUAGAACACCCUUGAUCACACCUUAUGGUGCCUUACCCUGGGUCUGUCUAAUUUCUUUAUGGAGUCUUAGUGAAAAUUUUGCUGUCACUAACCUCUGUCCAUUUUUCUUCCCCCAUCCUGAUGAAUUUCAGCAGGUCUCUCUUACUUUCCUUCUCCCUAGGCCAUAUCAGCUCCAUUCUCUUUCUGGGAGGAGCUUUAUUGUCAACUAGUGAAUAUAAAGAGAGAGGCAAUGAGGACAGAAGAAGGCGAGGGAGGCUUUGGAAUACCAUGGUAGAGGAACAAAUGCUUUGCCUUUUUUAGUGGUUAAUGGACUAUUAAGUUUGUAUGGAUGAAGGAAGGAAACCUGCAAUCUCUGAUAUUGUGAGUGAAUUUAGGAGUGAAUUCCUUAUUGCCCUUAUGAAUGGAGACAGGAAAGGUGAAAAGUGAGAGAUGACAUAAUAUGCUUUGCUUCAAUGGAGUAGGCAAUGAGACUUACUUCAAAAUUGGAAAUUAAAUUGGAGAUCUAAUUCAAUUGGAUUGGAGAGUUGUUGUUCUUCCUUAUCUCUGUUGAAUAGAGAUUUUUGUUAACCCAAUUGAGAACCCACCCACAACAAAUUUUGCAACCUAGAAUUCUCUGUGGCAGGGUGUUAAAGGUACCUAGGACAUAGUUCAGGAACAGUGGGCAGAAUGGCUCAACGCAGUCCAAAACACAGUUAUCUGGCAGAAGGAAAAAAUAUUGUCAAUGAAAGUUCAGUCCUUAGAACUAUUUGUCAUUCCCCAAGGCAUAUUGGAGUAUCUAUGUUUUAUAUCUUAUCUUUUAAGAAAAAACUGCUUCCAAGAAGGACUAUAAAAGAUUCUUUCAUGGAAGAGAGAAGAGGGAAAACUACCAAUUAAAUAAGAUUAUAGCUUUUCAAGAUUUUUUUUUUUUAAAGAUUUCCUAUGUGGGUCAUGGAGAUGUAUUUCAGUAUCACUUGUGGCUUACUAGUGCAGUUUAACUUUAACUUUUAUGGUCUUGGAGUGAUUCAGACACCUGCUCACUUUGUCAGGUAUUUGUUAGUAGACUCAGGUACUUAAAGGAACAAGUUGACAACCUCCCAGUGGACAAGAGUCUGGCCUUUUGAGUGAAGUAGCAACUUUAAAAAAAAUCAUGGGAUUGGCUAGAUUGGGCUAGUCUUUUUUAAAAUUUUAAGUAAAAAACUUUUUUCUUUGAUAAUAAAAGUAACGGAUAGUCAUCAUUUAAAUGAUACAGUGAAAAGUAUACAUUAAAAAGUAAAGAACAUGUAUAAAUUUAUUAGCCAUAAAACAAUAAUUUGUAACAUUUGGGUUUAUUUCCCUUAAAGUCUCAAAAACUAAGUGUAUUUAAUAUAAUUUUAUAACAACUGACAUUGUAUAUGUUUUUUCCAUUUGAAAAUUGACAAGCAUAUUUCCAUGUCAUUAUUGUUGUUUGAGAAACAAAACAUUAAGUGCUAAAUAGUAUAUGGCUCUAACAAAUUUUAUUUUGAUGAUACCAGGUUGCUGCACAUUUUGGAUAUUGCAAAUAUUGCUUAUAAAAUUUAAAUGUAAUGAAUAUCAUUGUAAAUUAAUGUUUCUAUGUAUCUCUUUAAAAUAAAUUUCUAAAAAAUUGGUAUUAUUUGGUUUGAAUGAUGAGAACAGUAUUAGAACAUCAAUUCAAAGAUGAUGUUUAAAUUGUUCUCAGUAAAGUUGUAGGGAUUAUAUUCCUACCAGUCAUGUACAAAUGUGAAUAUUUCUUUACACAUUCAUCAAAGCAUGGUUUUUCUAUUUGUAAAUCUCUACUCAUUUGAUAGAUAAAAAUGUACUUUUGUUGUCUUUAAAGUUUUAUUUCUAAUUUAUGCACAGUAAACAACUCUCUGUAUGUCAUAUAGUUCUAUGGAUUUUGACAAAUGCAUGUAGUCAUGUAUAUUCCAAUCCAUUCAGUUUAUCAAUCCAAUUAUUCCAAUCCAAUUCAGUUAUCAAUUUAAUAAUUUUUAUAUUUGAUCCAUUUCUACCCCACAAAUCUGGACACCAUUGAUUUGUUUCCAUCCCCAUGGUUUUGCCUUCAUCAGAAGGUCAUAUAAAUGGAAUCAUGCAAUAUGUGGACUUUUUGUCUGGCUUCUUAUUCACUUAGUAAAAUGCAUUUAAGCAUCA